rnacentral:rRNA from 1 species
CGGUUGAUCCCGCCGGACCCGACUGCUAUCAGAGUGAGAUUAAGCCAUGCGAGUCAACGUAGCAAUACGUGGCAUACGGCUCAGUAACACGUAGUCAACAUAACCAAAGGACGUGGAUAAACUCGGGAAACUGAGGCUAAACCGCAAUAGAUCAAGAUACCUGGAAUGGUUUUUGAUCAAAAUCUAUAUGGCCUUUGGAUUGGACUGCGUCCGAUCAGGCUGUUGGUGAGGUAAUGGCCCACCAAACCUAUAACCGGUACGGGCUCUGAGAGGAGGAGCCCGGAGAUGGGUACUGAGAUAAGGACCCAGGCCCUAUGGGGCGCAGCAGGCGCGAAACCUCUGCAAUAGGCGAAAGCUUGACAGGGUUAUUCUGAGUGACUUUCGUUAAGAAAGUCUUUUGACACCUCUAAAAAUGGUGUAGAAUAAGGGGUGGGCAAGUCUGGUGUCGGCCGCCGCGGUAAUACCAGCACCCCGAGUGGUCGGGACGAUUAUUGGACCUAAAGCAUCCGUAGCCGGCCUUACAAGUCCUCCGUUAAAUCCAGCUGCUUAACAGAUGGGCUGCGGAGGAUACUAUAAGACUAGGAGGCAGGAGAGGCAAGCGGUACUCAA